rnacentral:rRNA from 1 species
CUUACACAUGCAAGUCGAACGGAGGAUUCAUUUUCCCGAAGUUUUCGGAUGGAGGGAGCGGAUCCUUAGUGGCGGACGGGUGAGUAACGCGUGAGCAACCUGUCCUGCAGAGGGGGACAACAACGGGAAACCGUUGCUAAUACCGCAUGAGACCACGGCCUCGCAUGGGGCCGGGGUAAAAGGAGAAAUCCGCUGCAGGAGGGGCUCGCGUCCCAUUAGAUAGUUGGCGGGGUAAAGGCCCACCAAGUCAGCGAUGGGUAGCCGGACUGAGAGGUUGAACGGCCACACUGGGACUGAGACACGGCCCAGACUCCUACGGGAGGCAGCAGUGGGGAAUAUUGGGCAAUGGGCGCAAGCCUGACCCAGCAACGCCGCGUGAAGGAAGAAGGUCUUCGGAUUGUAAACUUCUGUCAUUGGGGACGAAGGAAGUGACGGUACCCAAUGAGGAAGCCCCGGCUAACUACGUGCCAGCAGCCGCGGUAAUACGUAGGGGGCGAGCGUUGUCCGGAAUUACUGGGCGUAAAGGGUGCGUAGGCGGCGAUGCAAGUCCAUUGUGAAAAGCCCGGGCUUAACCUGGGAGGUGCAGUGGAAACUGCAUGGCUUGAGUGCAGGAGAGGAAAGUGGAAUUCCUAGUGUAGCGGUGAAAUGCGUAGAUAUUAGGAGGAACACCAGUGGCGAAGGCGGCUUUCUGGACUGUAACUGACGCUGAGGCACGAAAGCGUGGGGAGCAAACAGGAUUA